rnacentral:sRNA from 1 species
AGAUCGAAUAGGGACGUUUUGCAGAUUAGGUUCUUGUGAGCUAAGUCUUCCUGUAGUGGUAGAAGUUUGUAAAAAUGUUGUAUGUAUCCGCUUAGUUAUAUUAUUUAUUUGUUUUGGUAAACUAUCAGUAUAAGUAUUUUUUAAUUUUGUCAGUUGCCUCCAUCUUAGUAAUAAAGUGGCGAUAUGAUAUCCAUCUUCACUAAGUUUUUUGAGUAUUCCAGCUCUUGUUGAGUAAGAGCUUGUUUUAGCUAAAGUGUUACCGGAAGGUAAUUGCAUUUUUUUAAAUAAAAUCUCACCUAGUUGUUUUUGUGAACCGAUAUUAAAUUUAGUUCCGCUAAGCGCAAAAAUUUCUUCUUCAAUUUUUAGAAUUUCUGUUCCAAAUUCAUCAGAUAAGCGAUUUAAGUAAUUAGC